AGUGAACGCUGGCGGUAGGCCUAACACAUGCAAGUCGAACGGCAGCACAGUAAGAGCUUGCUCUUACGGGUGGCGAGUGGCGGACGGGUGAGGAAUACAUCGGAAUCUACUUUUUCGUGGGGGAUAACGUAGGGAAACUUACGCUAAUACCGCAUACGACCUACGGGUGAAAGCAGGGGAUCUUCGGACCUUGCGCGUUUGAAUGAGCCGAUGUCGGAUUAGCUAGUUGGCGGGGUAAAGGCCCACCAAGGCGACGAUCCGUAGCUGGUCUGAGAGGAUGAUAAGCCACACUGGAACUGAGACACGGUCCAGACUCCUACGGGAGGCAGCAGUGGGGAAUAUUGGACAAUGGGCGCAAGCCUGAUCCAGCCAUACCGCGUGGGUGAAGAAGGCCUUCGGGUUGUAAAGCCCUUUUGUUGGGAAAGAAAAGCAGCAGGUUAAUACCCCGCUGUUCUGACGGUACCCAAAGAAUAAGCACCGGCUAACUUCGUG
rnacentral:rRNA from 1 species